rnacentral:rRNA from 1 species
GAUGAACGCUGGCGGCGUGCCUAAUACAUGCAAGUCGAGCGAACGGACGAGAAGCUUGCUUCUCUGAUGUUAGCGGCGGACGGGUGAGUAACACGUGGAUAACCUACCUAUAAGACUGGGAUAACUUCGGGAAACCGGAGCUAAUACCGGAUAAUAUUUUGAACCGCAUGGUUCAAAAGUGAAAGACGGUCUUGCUGUCACUUAUAGAUGGAUCCGCGCUGCAUUAGCUAGUUGGUAAGGUAACGGCUUACCAAGGCAACGAUGCAUAGCCGACCUGAGAGGGGGAUCGGCCACAUUGGAACGGAGACACGGUCCAGACGCCUAAGGGAGGCAGCAGUAGGGAAUCUUCCGCAAUGGGCGAAAGCCUGACGGAGCAACGCCGCGUGAGUGAUGAAGGUCUUCGGAUCGUAAAACUCUGUUAUUAGGGAAGAACAUAUGUGUAAGUAACUGUGCACAUCGUGACGGUACCUAAUCAGAAAGCCACGGCUAACUACGUG